AUAGUACUCCCUCCGGCCAGAAUUACUUGUCGAAAUAUUACAUGUAUCUAGAUGCUUUUUAAACAUAGAUACAUCCACAUUUGGGCAAAUUUGAGACAAGUAAUAUGGGUCGGAGGGAGUACUAU
rnacentral:pre_miRNA from 1 species